UCAUAGAAUUUCUUCAAAUUCAUGAUGUCGUAAGGGAAAAUAAUGAUAAUACCUUACUAUGAGUGUCGUCCAAAUCUGGUGCCAGAAGACUCGGUAAGACCAGAGACGCAAACGUUAAUCAUCAUAAACAGGCGUAAAGGGUUUGUAGGCAGCUUUUAUAAGAUAAUAAAAAUCUAAAUUGAAAGCUAGAAUCAAAAAGAGGUUAUAGUGUAUAACGCCUAGAGGAGGGCUUAUAUCCAUAGAUCCUAGGCAGAAUAUUCAGGGCGAAGGCCACUCUCCAUUAAUGAUUGACGCUGAGAAACGAAGGUUAGGGUAGGAAAUAGGAUUAGAUACCCCGGUACUCCUUUCUGUAAACGAUGAAUGGUAGUCAUUAGUUUAAAAAUAACUAGAGGCGAAGUUAACACAAUAACCAUUCCGCCUUGUGAGUACUACUGCAAAGUAGAAAACAAAAAAAUUAGUCGGUCUCGAAGCAAACGGAGUGAAGCAUGUUAUUUA
rnacentral:rRNA from 1 species